GGGGGAACCCUGAUCNAGCAUGCCGCGUGUGUGAAGAAGGCCUUCGGGUUGUAAAGCACUUUUAUCCGGAACGAAACGCGCAGGGUGAAUAGCCUUGCGAACUGACGGUACCGGAGGAAUAAGCACCGGCUAACUUCGUGCCAGCAGCCGCGGUAAUACGAAGGGUGCAAGCGUUACUCGGAAUUACUGGGCGUAAAGGGUGCGUAGGUGGUUUUUUAAGUCCGUUGUGAAAUCCCUGGGCUCAACCUGGGAAUGGCAGUGGAUACUGGAAAGCUAGAGUGCGGUAGAGGGUAGUGGAAUUCCCGGUGUAGCAGUGAAAUGCGUAGAGAUCGGGAGGAACACCAGUGGCGAAGGCGGCUACCUGGACCAGCACUGACACUGAGGCACGAAAGCGUGGGGAGCAAACAGGAUUAGAUACCCUGGUAGUCCACGCCCUAAACGAUGCGAACUGGACGUUGGGUGCAACUUGGCACUCAGUGUCGAAGCUAACACGUUAAGUUCGCCGCCUGGGGAGUACGGUCGCAAGACUGAAACUCAAAAAAAUUGACGGA
rnacentral:rRNA from 1 species